rnacentral:rRNA from 1 species
AUGCUGUCAGACGAGGAGGACGUGCCAAUCGUCAUCGACAUGGAGGCGGCCAUACAGGCAGUGAAGGGCAAGCUCGUCGUGGCUCGGGUGCUGUCGCAGUACCCGGUGGACCACAACACCGUCGUCAACAGCUUGCGAGGGGCGUGGAGGCUCCGUGGCACUGCGGUCCCUCAACGGGUCACGAGCAGCGAUGGGCGCUUCGUCGUCACGUUCUCCGAGGAGGGGGACCGGCAGCGUGUUCUUCAAGCUGGGCCGUGGCACUACCAGAACGACGCAGUGCUCAUCAAGGACUUCGACGGCGUGGGUAACCCUGUGGACGUGCGCCUAGAUUCUUUAAGUAUCUGGGUGCAAAUUCAUAGGUUGCCCAUCAUCCUCAAGACUGAAGACAUGGGGUGGAAGCUUGGAAAGAAGCUCGGCACCGUCCUCGCCGUGUCGCACCGCAACAAUCAAAUCGUUGACGAGCAUCUUCGUGUUCGUGUUCAGCACCCUGUGGAGAAGCCAUUGAGGAAGAACGUCGACAUAACCCCAAAAGGUAGCACCAAACCGAUCCUUUUCGAUGUCAAGUAUGAGAAGCUGCCAAACUUCUGUUUUUGCUGCGGAGUGGUGGGACACACGACAGAGAAGUUCUGCAGCAUGCCCAAAGAGCUGCGGAAGGCGUCCUACUCCACCGACAUAAGGGCGCCUCCGUAUUGGGCCUCUGCUCGUAGACAAAUCGAUUUUGGGAAGAAGCCGGUGAAGGACAAGGUGAUCACGGAGGUGGCCUCGGCGGUCAAAAGACUAUACUUGUCUGCUGCUGCAGAUACGACUACGGCGUCAGCUUCGGUGGACGGUUCUGCUCCGGUUGCCACUGACGCACCAAACGCGUUGGAGCAGCUUGUGCUCGUUGGCGGGGGUACCAACAACUCCAGCAAUGGGCCCCCUAUUCAGUUUGCUACUGGAGGCCUAGAGGCGUCCAAUGACAUGGCUGGAGCACUCCUCAACACCAACUCAGGAGCUCCGGCUGGUCAAAUGAGCGAGCUGAUGGAUAAGGGACCUGGGGAGCACCUCCACUCUAACCUGGGUGCUCCUAGGUCUCCUACUGCUGCUGCUAUGGCGUCUAUGCAGAAGCAGCCGCAGAUGGGGGAUGUACAGCCUAUGGAUCAGGCGAAGGCUAAAGCUCAUGGUGGUCGCGAGGGUGCUGCUGCUGAUGGCGUACAGCAGCGUGCUCUGGCUACUGCUGGAGUCCAGCGAUGGAAGAGGCUUCAUCGAGAAGAGCAGGAAGAGAAGGAGAUGGUGCAAUCUGCAUGUGCUAAACAUGUGGUUUUUGGCAUCCCCACGCCACCAAACAGCGGCAGCGAGCUCUCCAGUCGCAAGAUGAUUUUUGCUGCCAUGCUUGAGAGUACGGCAGGUAGCAAGAGGCGAUCCCCUGAUGACAAAGACUUCGUGUUAAGCAUGAAUAGUACUAGUACUGAAAGUCUAGAGGUUAGGGAUGAUAUGGAUGUGAGUAUGAAUUGUAAAAGAGUUGGUACUAGAGUAGGCAUAGAUGGGUCUACUAUUCAUGUAACUGAAGAGGUAGAUGGGGGAGUGGAGAUGGAUCAGGACAAAAGAAGAGAGUCUGUAGGGGAUGAAAAAGAUGUAGAGGAUGGAAAAGAUGUAGGGAACAAUACUAAGGAAGCAACCGGACCUGGGGCUGCCGGUCAACUGACGGGCGAGCAUGAUAUCGCCCGUCAGGAGCCAUGA